rnacentral:rRNA from 1 species
GAUGAACGCUGGCGGCGUGCUUAACACAUGCAAGUCGAACGAACAGGUCAUGCUCUUGUGGCGUUCUCGAGUGCCGAACGGGUGUGUAUAACGCGUGUAAAAUGCACCUGAAUUUGGGAUAACAUCACGAAAAAGGGGCUCUAAUCGGAUAGGAGAUACUGCACCACGGUGGGGGUUGGAAAGUUUCGGCGGUAGGGGAUGGACUCGCGGCUUCUCAGCUUGUUGGUGGGGUAGUGGAUUACGAAGUCUGUGACGGGUAGCCGGCCUGAGAGGGUGACCGGCGACAUGGGUACUGAGAGACGGCCCAGACGCGUACGGGAGGCAGCAGUGGGAAAUAUGGCACAGUGGGGGGAAGCCUGUUGCAGCAGCGCCGCGUGCGUGAUGACGGCCUUCGGGUUGUGAACCGCUAUCUCCUGUGACGAAGCGUUAGUGACGGUAAUGGAUAAAGAAGCACCGGCUAACUACGUG